AGCGAACGCUGGCGGCGUGCUUAACACAUGCAAGUCAAACGAGAACGGGUUAUAGCUUGCUAUAAUUGUCAGCUAAGUGGCGCACGGGUGAGUAAUGUAUAGGUAAUAUGCCUCUUACUAAGGGAUAACAAAUGGAAACGUUUGCUAAUACCUUAUACUCCUUAUUAACAGAAGUUAAUAAGGGAAAGAUUUAUUGGUAAGAGAUUAGCCUGUAUUGUAUCAGUUAGUUGGUGGGGUAAUGGCUUACCAAGACUAUGACACAUAACUGGUUUGAGAGGAUGAUCAGUCACACUGGAACUGAGACACGGUCCAGACUCCUACGGGAGGCAGCAGUGGGGAAUAUUGCACAAUGGACGGAAGUCUGAUGCAGCAACGCCGCGUGGAGGAUGACACAUUUCGGUGCGUAAACUCCUUUUAUAUGAGAAGAUAAUGACGGUAUUAUAUGAAUAAGCACCGGCUAACUCCGUGCCAGCCGCCGCGGUAA
rnacentral:rRNA from 1 species